CAAUACAAUACAAUACAAUACAAUUUUAUUCAAUAAAAUAAAAUACAUAAGAUAGAAAUAACAUGACCCGCAAAUAGCAAUAGCUAAUCAGAGGCGGGCAUGAAAUAUAAAUUUAGACAGUUAUAAUUUCAAUUAGUUGCAGACAAUUUUACUGUAUAUAUACGUGCAGAAAAAAUAAAAAAAAAUUAAAGAAAUGUAUUAUUAGCGGUGGAAUUUGAAAGGUGGUGUAGGAUCUGAUUGAUGAAUGAUGUACUGUUAAUAACGUACCCAUGAAAUAUUAAAAAUAAGAUCAAACAGACAUUCUCUGCAAAAUCAUAGGGAGAUCAACAUAGUCA